UACGUAGGGUGCAAGCGUUUGUCCGGAAUCAUUGGGCGUAAAGAGCGUGUAGGCGGCUCGAUAAGUCUGCUGUGAAAGUCCAGGGCUCAACCCUGGAAGGCCGGUGGAAACUGUCGGGCUAGAGUCCGGAAGAGGCGAGUGGAAUUCCCGGUGUAGCGGUGAAAUGCGCAGAUAUCGGGAGGAACACCGAUGGCGAAGGCAGGUCUCUGGGCCAUAACUGACGCUGAGAAGCGAAAGCAUGGGGAGCGAACAGG
rnacentral:rRNA from 1 species